AAUUGAUUUUCCUGAAAAAAAAAGAAAAAAGUUACAUUUCAAGGCUUCGGUCACUUUUGACCGCAAAGGAGGCAAGUGUGACUCCUAAACGAAGAGGGCCAGAAGGUUUAAAGGAAAAGGAGAUGGAUUUGUAAGUAAUAUGUAAUUAAUGUCAAAAACAUCCAAAUGUGUUUGUUUUUUUUACUCUGAAAGAACAUUUUGGCUGUUGCAUUCCUUGACUGUUGUCAGUUGGCCUUUACAUUUCUCAUGAUAAACUAACUUACAGUUUACUACAUCUGACUCUUUGAUAGAUGUUAGAAAUUAAUUAAAAGGUAUAUUGUUGAGAUCAAUACUUUGUUCUUCAAUUAUUUGUAUCUUUUAUUAAAUCAGCAGUGGAGAUCAACAUCAGGCAGGUCGUGGAUAUUGAAAGGGACUUCCACAAUCUUUGAUUAUCCAUGCUUCUUGAAUAUGCCAAGUGUGGUAGGUCUCAUUGCAGUUCAGUCUUUAAUUUUCUUCCAUUACUUAAAGGGAUAGUUCAACCAAAAAUGGAAAUUCUGUCAUUUACUCCCCUUCAUGUUGUUUCAAACCUGUACGAGUUUUUCUUCUGUUGAAAACAAAAGAAGAUAUUCCUAAGAAUGUUGGUAAUCAGACAGUUGACGGUUGUAACGGGGCUGACGAGAUAGUGAGACGUACGGAUCCAUAAGCAAGCUUUAUUGACAAGAGACGUGGUAAUAACAGGCAGGGUCGAUCAAUGGCAGACAAGUAUAUAAUAGGCAAUGCACAGAGUUAUCAAAAACAGGCAUGAGUCAAACAACAGCGAACAGUAUCAAAAGGGGCUAGACAAGAGAGGUAAUUCAAAACGUGAGCAAGAGUCCAGGCAGGGGAAAACACAAUCCAAAACAGGCAAGACAAGGGAAACUAACAGGGCUCUGUAGGGCAGCGAUAAUGCAUACAAUACUUGGCCCUGAUGGAAGGAAAGUCCAGGGUUUAAAUAAGGCAUGUGAUCAGUGUGUGCGUAGGAUCAGGUGUGCGUGUGAUUAGUGCAAUGAGUGAUUGGUGACAGCUGUGAUCAGUAAUGGAUGAUGGGAAUUGGAGUCCAUUGUGAUGUGUGGUGUGAAAGUCAAUAUGAUGGCAGGGCGAACUCUUGUGGCAGUCAGACAGAAGAGCAGGCCCAGAACUCGUAACAACGAAGAAAGAAACUCAUACAUGUUUGGAACAAUAUGAGAGGGGAUGGAAGACCAAGCAGAUGAUGAAAAGUGCUACCCAAUGCUGGUUGUUCUGGCAUAUCUUCUGCCACCGUUGCCUGGAAGUCGCUGCAGUGUUAAAUGGGAAAUUGAUUUCCUUUAUUAUUCUUUUAAUUAUUCUUUUAAUGAUGUCUUGAUGCUUUCUAAACUCCUGAAGUGUAUUUGUUUAUGAGAUUAAAUUGAUCUUAUUUUAUGAGAAAUGUUAUCCUCUGGUCUUGUUUCUGUUAACCGUUAAGUGUAAUUGAUGUUGGCAACACUUUUUAAUGAAUACUGUGGUUAAUAGCUAGUGCAUUACAAAUGCUUUUGUAUUAUGAAGAAAAAUUACAAACAUACUAUAGAUUUUUUAAAUUAACAGUCAUUGACCAAUUUAAAAUGUUUAUUUGUCUGAUUUGGAAAGUUUUAUCUUGUAUCUGACAUUUUAUGUUAUAAGUUGAUCUUAUGUUAUGAGAAAUGUUAUCUGAUAGUCUUGACUGUGUAUGAUUUUCAAUCAUCCAAGGUGUAGUUGAUGUUGGUAACACUUUUUAAUGUAUACUGUAUUGUAGCUAAUAGUUGUAGUGCAUUACAAGGCAUUUGUGUCAUCUAAUCAUAUAAACUAAGUUUAUGAAAUUUAGAUUUAGAACAUUUUGUUGUGCCUCUGUGCAUGCCUUGUUGUCUACCCUGACAAUAUUUGACAAAUUAAAUUGCUAACAUUUUUUACAUCUGUGUUUUAUUUCAAUUUUGUAGAAUUACAAAUUGAUGGUAAUGCUUAUUUUUGUCAUAACACAUUAAUUAGCAGUUUCUGAUCAUUUUCAGUUACACAAUGUUUAAAUGACACGUGUGUUCAAUUACAUUACACAGUAGAUGUGUGAUCCAUCUUAACACACAAAUUGUGUUAAAUCUGACACCACGUUGUCCCUGAGCACACUCACCACGUGUUAAAAUUCUGCACAAUGUGUCAUUUUUUAACACAUCUCUUUUUGCAGUGUACGCAGGAAGCCAUUACUUACACAAGGCAGCACACUUGGAGUAUGCUAAAAGAUCAUGUGAAUAAACCAAAUGAGUUUUGGAAUAACAUGUGGUCUGAUGAAAACAAAGUUGAAUUAUUUGGUCAUAAUUUGCACGGGUACGUGUGACAAGAAAAAAACCCUGCCUAUGAGGAGAAGAAUAUCAUUCCCACAGUCAAACACGGAGGCUCACUGAUGUUUUGGGGGUGUUUGUCUGCAUCAGGCGCUGGAGCUCUGCAUUACGUGGAAGGGAAAAUGAAUGCAGGCCAAUAUCAACAGAUUUUAAAGCAAAGCCUCCUACCAUCAGUCAAAAAGCUAAAAAUGAAGAGGCAGUGGAUCCUUCAACAAGACAAUGAUCCAAAACACAAAGCAAAGUCAACUCCGUGAAAGUUUUGCCAUGGCUUUCCCAGUCUCCAGACUUGAAUAUAAUAGAAAAGAGGUUGGAGGAGGUUAUAAAGGCAAAGGGAGAACAUACAAAUAUUACAUUAAAUAUUUUGUUGAUGACAGUACAUUUCUUUGUUUUACUCUUUUUGUCAUUUUAAAGUAAAGGGAUGCAAACUUUUGCACACAACUGUAGGCUAUUGUAAAUUCAAUUGUCCAAUCAUUUUCACCCCUAGAAGUUUCUCUCAGUGCCGUCCAAGAGGUCCCUGCCACUGGCAUCAAGGUCCCAAAGAUCAAUGCCACAGCUGCAUCAGAGGCUUCAGUCAUGGCCACAGAGCUCCUUUCUCCACUGUCUUGGGUCCAGAUAUGCUGUCAGGGCUGCUCAAAAAAUACCAGCUGCCACAAUGUUUCCUGCCAGUCUGCCACUAAUGCUCCAAAACCUCUGAUGCCCCAGAAAGGUUCCUGGACUUGAAAGUCUAAGGAUGGCCGUUUCGCUGCUCCCAGAUGUCCUUCAAACUGCCGCUUCAAAGGAUCCUGUCACAGGCAGUACUGGGGAAAGUUACUUUUAAAAGUAAUGCAUUACAAUAUUGUGUUACUCCCUAAAAAAGUAACUAAUUACGUUACUUAGUUACUUUUUAUGGAAAGUAAUGUUACGUUACUUUUGCGUUACAUUUUAAAUAUGAGCAGGGCUUGAUUGUUUUUAAUAUAAGAAGUUAUAUUUAUAGCAAAUGUAUAAGCCAUUUCACACCAAAAAGUGUAAUGAAUAAACCUCAGGCUGAAGGAAAAGUAAAUUCACGUCUGUACAGUAGAAUGCAGGAGAAGAAGGUUCAACACUCUUCAGCAAUAAAAAAAACAAUGAAGCACAAUUGUUAGUUUAUCUAAAGUCA